GAAUCGAACUGGCAACCUUCAGAUUACUGGCGCUACCUGGGGCAGGAUCGGCUACCUAAACUCCAAUCUCACCAUCCAAUCAGCAUACUAACUGUCCAAUGUGGAUUGGAUUUAGGCCAAUCACGUCUUUGAGUGAGAAUGGAUACAGCCAAUCACAGCGCUUCUAUCCAUUGUGAGUCCGUUGGAAAACUUACUGUCAGAAGAAAAGUCUGUUGGCUGUCACUGUAUAAGCAUACUGUUUACUGUCAGUACAAACGUACAAGAAAGCAUCAAAAUGAGCACCAAGCCUAAGAGCAAAUAAAUCCAUGGAGAUGGAGAGUGGAUUGCGAGGCUUGGGCAUUUGCUGGCUCAGGGGUUUGGCCUGCUGGAGGAGGCAAUAGACCUGCCCCAAGGCAGCGGAAAUUGCAUGACCUCUAUCAAAAGAUUGAGAAAUGCCCCAUGCAGACUCGUGGACAGACCGCCCUAUUUGGAAGGUCCAUGGUCUGUAAUUGUGGAUUCCAUGCUGUUAAGACUGCCACUCAGCUACCUCAGGCACCACAGUCUGUGGCUUCAGACUUGUCCACUGGUGCUGCAGCCCAGCCUUCUUUCCUGCAGCCCCCUCUGAGUGUGUCAAUGUUCACUAAAUCACGCUUUGGUGGGUCACAGUCUGCCUCAGUGAAGCCCAAUAUUGUAGCAAGGAAGACCCCCAGCCCUGCUUCUCCUCCAUCCUCUGUGAGGACCCCCAGCCCUGCUCCUCCUCUAUCCUCUGCCCGGCUCUCCAGUACCAACUGCCCUGCAGCACCGUGGGCCAGGCACGGUUGAAGAGAAAGGUCCCGUCCACAGAUGUGACACCUGUGCCAUAAAGAUGCAUGCCCAGCGUCAGCUCUUCCCUGCUCCACCCUCGGCCCCUCGUCUGUUGGUGCUGGCUCCGGUGACCUCACAGGUGCCUGUCUUCAUUGCUGCUCCACAGGCCCUGGGAGGUAUCUUCCCUGCACCUCCUGCUCCGGUCCGAAAACUAACCCGCCAUGUACCCCACAACACGUGCAAGAAAUGCGGGCAGUUCAGGACAGCCCAGACUGGACACAGUCAGUACAAAGGGACCGUGUACUGCCCCUCUGUAGAGGCUGUUCCCAAGGAGCAGUGGUUGGAGGACAU